CCUACGGGGGGCUGCAGUGAGGAAUAUUGGUCAAUGGACGAGAGUCUGAACCAGCCAAGUAGCGUGAAGGAUGACUGCCCUAUGGGUUGUAAACUUCUUUUAUAUGGGAAUAAAAUGUUCCACGUGUGGGGUUGUGUAUGUACCAUAUGAAUAAGGAUCGGCUAACUCCGUGCCAGCAGCCGCGGUAAUACGGAGUAUCCGAGCGUUAUCCGGAUUUAUUGGGUUUAAAGGGAGCGUAGGUGGUAUGUUAAGUCAGUUGUUAAAGUUGGGGGCUCAACCGUAAAAUUGCAGUUGAAACUGGCAGUCUUGAGUAGAGGAGAGGUGGGCGGAAUGCGCGGUGUAGCGGUGAAAUGCUUAGAUAUCACGAAGAACUCCGAUUGCGAAGGCAGCUCACUGGACUGCAACUGACACUGAGGCACGAAAGUGUGGGUAUCAAACAGGAUUAGAUACCCUUGUAGUC
rnacentral:rRNA from 1 species